GUUUGCAGCCAUACUUUCUAUCUCAUCUGACCUAGGAAGGCAGUCCGAGUCCAGCCUGGUUAGUACUUGGAUGAGAGACUGCCUGGGAAUAUGGGGUGCUGGAGGCU
rnacentral:rRNA from 1 species